GACGAACGCUGGCGGCGUGCCUAAUACAUGCAAGUCGAACGCAGUGGGGACGGGUGAGUAAAACGUGGGUAACCUCCCAUCAGAGGGGAUAACACUUGGAAACAGGUGCUAAACCGAUAUUGAUGGAUGGACCCGCGGUGCAUUAGCUAGUUGGUGAGGUAAAGGCUCACCUAGGCGACGAUCUCUAGCUGGUCUGAGAGGAGUGUCAGCCACACGGGGACUGAGACACGGCCCAGACUCCUACGGGAGGCAGCAGUGGGGAAUAUUGCAAAAUGGGCGCAAGCCGGAUGCAGCCAUGCCGCGUGUAGGAAGAAGGCCUUAGGGUUGUAGAGUACUUUCAGCGGGGAGGCGUUACCCGCAGAAGAAGCACCGGCUAACUCCGUGCCAGCAGCCGCGGUAAUUC
rnacentral:rRNA from 1 species